AAAUAAGAAGUAAAAGCAUGUUUCGGAUGCAAGGAGCGAAUAGUAAUUUGGAUAAUUGCGUCGCCAUAGAAUAUCGGUAAUAAAAGCAAGGUGUUGAAACGGGUCACUAGGUUGACUCGAGCCAGGUGAAUGUCGAGAGUCCCGGAUGAAGAUCGAGCAUCGAGCAAGAACCGAACACACAUUAAACAAAGCUUCCGCAACGUUGUUUUGUCGUAAUUCUAAACGGCGAAUUAAUCACAUUAUGUUUAUCACUUAAGUUGUAAAAG